rnacentral:rRNA from 1 species
AAGCGUUAAUCGGAAUCACUGGGCGUAAAGCGCGCGUAGGUGGAUAUUUAAGUCGGAUGUGAAAGCCCUAGGCUUAACCUGGGAAUUACAUCCGAUACUAGGUAUCUCGAGUAUGAUAGAGGGAAGUGGAAUUUCCGGUGUAGCGGUGAAAUGCGUAGAUAUCGGAAAGAACAUCAGUGGCGAAGGCGGCUUCCUGGAGCAAUACUGACACUGAGGCGCGAAAGCGUGGGGAGCAAACAGGAUUAGAGACCCUGGUAGUCCACGCCGUCAACGAUGAGAACUAGCUGUUGGAAAGUUUACUUUCUAGUAGCAAAGCUAACGCGUUAAGUUCUCCG